rnacentral:rRNA from 1 species
CAAUAGCGUAUAUUAAAGUUGUUGCAGUUAAAAAGCUCGUAGUUGGAUUUCUGAUCGAGACAUCAGGUCGGGUCCGAGAGGAUCGUGUACUUUGAUUUUGUUUUGAUCAUCCUUGGGGAGAGCAUUUCUGGCAUUCAGUUGUCGGGAUUGGGAUCCUCAUCGUUUACUGUGAAAAAAUUAGAGUGUUCAAAGCAGGCCUCGGCCUCUGAAUACAUUAGCAUGGAAUAAUAAGAUAGGGCUUUGGUGGUCUAUUUUGUUGGUUUGCACGCCAAAGUAAUGAUUAAUAGGGAUAGUUGGGGGUAUUCGUAUUCAAUUGUCAGAGGUGAAAUUCUUGGAUUUAUGGAAGACGAACUACUGCGAAAGCAUUUACCAAGGAUGUUUUCAUUAA